rnacentral:rRNA from 1 species
CAGCUAACGAGUGAAGUAGNCCGCGUGGGGAGUCCGGUCGCAAGANUAAAACUCAAAGGAAUNGNNGGGGACCCGCANCAANCGNUGGAUGAUGUGGAUUAAUUCGAUGCAACGCGACAAACCUUACCUACCNUUGACAUGGCAAGAACCCNUGAGAGAUCANGGGGUGCUCGNAAGAGAANUUGUACACAGGUGCUGCAUGUCUGUCGUCAGCUCGUGUCGUGAGAUGUUGGGUUAAGUCCCGCAACGAGCGCAACCCUUGUCAUUAGUUGUUACGAAAGAGCACUCUAAUGAGACUGCCGGUGACUAACCGGAGGAAGGUGGGGAUGANGUNAAGUCCUNAUGGCCCUUAUGGGUAGGGCUUGACACGUCAUACAAUGGUACAUACAGAGGGCCACCAACCCGNGAGGGGGAGNUAAUNCCAGAAAGUNUAUCNUAGUCCGGAUUGUAGUCUGCAACUCGANNACAUGAAGUUGGAAUCGCUAGUAAUCGCGGAUCAGCAUGUCGCGGUGAAUACGUUCCCGGGUCUUGUACACACCGCCCGUCACACCAUGGGAGCGGGUUUUACCAGAAGUAGGUGAGCUUAACCGCCAAGGAGGGCGCUUACCACGGUAGGAUUCGUGACUGGGGUGAAGUCGUAACCAAGGUACC